rnacentral:misc_RNA from 1 species
UAUUUCUCCAUCUAUUUACUCUUUUGUAGAGUCUGAAGUCUGAAAAUAAUUAAACUGAAAGGUAGCCUCGUUAUCAAGUAUUCUUACCCAGUCAGGUCGCGGGCAAGGUAAUUUUAAAGAUGGCGGCUCAAACUGUAACCGUAGAAGAGCCGGAAUUACCCGAAGAAGUCACCGAGUCGCUGGAAACGUUCCACGAAGCUUUGGGAAAAGUUGAUGAUACAUUUAAGUCCCUUCUGGAGACUUCAGUUGAUGACCUUAAGGAAAAGAUGAAUCCCUUACAAAGUGCAAAACUGGAUUUAGUUGUUGCAUAUGCCAUAAACUCUAUGUUCUGGAUGUAUUUGACAACUCAAGGAGUUAACCCACGCCAGCAUCCUGUAAAAUCUGAACUGGAUAGAAUAAAGAAAUACAUGGGUAAAGUAAAAGAAGCUACUGAAAAGAAAGAAGCUUCUUUAAGAAUAGACAAAGGUGCUGCAAAGAGAUUUGUCAAGAGUGCUUUAUGGCAACCAGAUACUGGGCUGAUAUUGCAGGGAGAAAGUAGAUGCCAGUCACUCUUAGGGGUUAAAGGGCUAAGAAGUACAUUGGCGUGGAAAAGAGCCAAUUAGAGAAAGGGAUAAUAGAUCUGCUGUGUAUUAAACAACGAAGACAUAGAAAACAACUAAACAAGUAAUAAACAAACAAACAAAAAAUGUUCUUCCUUUUGGAAUUUUUUUUUUCAGUUUUGAGUAAGUUAGAGCUUACUUUUAAUGUUUUCUUGGAUCAUGUUCAGUCCAUUUUUUUGUUAUUUUCAUUUUGUUUUUUGGUUUACAUGUAUGUUUUGUUGUUUGGUACCAGUCAUUAUUUACUCCUACUUGCAAGUGGGAGAUCUCCAAAUCAAAAGGUCUGGGUUGGAACCCUGAGUGGGUCAUCUUGUUUGUUAAAAUACAGGAACUAUCAGAUUUCACUCUCCCGUGGCCUUUGUAGUUCCACCCAGGAACAUCAAGAAAACUUGAUUAACCAAGAGAUUAAUCACAUCAUGUCCUGGGGGAAGGCAAUAUUCCUACCUGUAGUUGAUUCAGCCUGCUUCAAACUGGGUAUAAGGUCCAGCAGUGGGGUGCAACUAGGCUGUUAUAAGACUUGACCCAUAGACGGACCUUACGUGUACUUCAAAAUGGUGACAACGUUUGUGUUCUUUAUGUCUACGAAAAGUAGCCCUCUUUGCCUAGCUCACAUCCUCUGAAUUGCAAAGGAAUCUUUGGCUUGAAAUGAGAUAAAGGCGCGACUUCGGAGACAUCACAGAAGGAAGUAGAAACCCCACGUGAAGAAGAAUCAAAGAAGUCUGAGAAACGAAAAAGUGAAGGGAAACUUGCCAAGUCUACCG